rnacentral:tRNA from 1 species
UUUUUAUAGUUUAAAUAAAAUAUUACACUGAAAAUGUAAAGAUAUAAGUUAAAAA